rnacentral:rRNA from 1 species
GACGAACGCUGGCGGCGUGCUUAACACAUGCAAGUCGAACGGAAAGGCCCCUUUGGGGGUACUCGAGUGGCGAACGGGUGAGUAACACGUGAGUAACCUGCCCUUGACUUCGGGAUAACUUCAGGAAACUGGGGCUAAUACCGGAUAGGAAUCCUUGCUGCAUGGUGGGGGUUGGAAAGCUUCGGCGGUUUUGGAUGGACUCGCGGCUUAUCAGCUUGUUGGUGGGGUAGUGGCUUACCAAGGCUUUGACGGGUAGCCGGCCUGAGAGGGCGACCGGCCACAUUGGGACUGAGAUACGGCCCAGACUCCUACGGGAGGCAGAAGUGGGGAAUAUUGCACAAUGGGCGGAAGCCUGAUGCAGCAAGGCCGCGUGCGGGAUGACGGCCUUCGGGUUGAAAACCGCUUUCAGCAGGGGCGAAGCUUGUGGUGACGGUACCUGCAGAAGAAGCACCGGCUAACUACGUG